AUGGAAGCGUGUUGCAGGUAGGGAAUGGAAGCGUGUUGUGUUGCAGGUAGGGAAUGGAAGCGUGUUGCAGGUAGGGAAUGGAAGCGUGUUGCAGGUAGGGAAUGGAAGCGUGUUGCAGGUAGGGAAUGGAAGCGUGUUGCAGGUAGGGAAUGGAAGCGUGUUGUGUUGCAGGUAGGGAAUGGAAGCGUGUUGCAGGUAGGGAAUGGAAGUGUGUUGUGUUGCAGGUAGGGAAUGGAAGCGUGUUGCAGGUAGGGAAUGGAAGCGUGUUGCAGGUAGGGAAUGGAAGCGUGUUGCAGGUAGGGAAUGGAAGCGUGUUGCAGGUAGGGAAUGGAAGCGUGUUGCAGGUAGGGAAUGGAAGCGUGUUGCAGGUAGGGAAUGGAAGCGUGUUGCAGGUAGGGAAUGGAAGCGUGUUGUGUGGCAGGUAGGGAAUGGAAGCGUGUUGUGUGGCAGGUAGGGAAUGGAAGCGUGUUGUGUGGCAGGUAGGGAAUGGAAGCGUGUUGUGUGGCAGGUAGGGAAUGGAAGCGUGUUGCAGGUAGGGAAUGGAAGCGUGUUGGGUGGCAGGUAGGGAAUGGAAGCGUGUUGUGUGGCAGGUAGGGAAUGGAAGCGUGUUGUGUGGCAGGUAGAGAAUGGAAGCGUGUUGUGUGGCAGGUAGGGAAUGGAAGCGUGUUGUGUGGCAGGUAGGGAAUGGAAGCGUGUUGUGUGGCAGGUAGGGAAUGGAAGCGUGUUGUGUGGCAGGUAGAGAAUGGAAGCGUGUCGUGUGGCAGGUAGAGAAUGGAAGCGUGUCGCGUGGCAGGUAGAGAAUGGAAGCGUGUCGCGUGGCAGGUAGGGAAUGGAAGCGUGUCGCGUGGCAGGUAGGGAAUGGAAGCGUGUCGCGUGGCAGGUAGGGAAUGGAAGCGUGUCGUGUGGCAGGUAGGGAAUGGAAGCGUGUCGUGUGGCAGGUAGGGAAUGGAAGCGUGUCGUGUGGCAGGUAGGGAAUGGAAGCGUGUCGUGUGGCAGGUAGGGAAUGGAAGCGUGUCGUGUGGCAGGUAGGGAAUGGAAGCGUGUCGUGUGGCAGGUAGGGAAUGGAAGCGUGUUGUGUGGCAGGUAGAGAAUGGAAGCGUGUCGUGUGGCAGGU